AAACGCCGUACCACUCGGGACCAUGGCCACUGAGCGUCCCGGCUGGGUCGGGGAGCUGGCCAAUCACGGGCGGGCCUCUGGCCGCCCGUAACUAAUCGGGGUUGAAAGUGGCGAGGACCUAGGAAUGGGCCGGUCGUGUAGGUGAAUGGGGACGGUGAGGAUGUUCCAGCGAGAGGCUGGGCCAAAGUUGUCUUGGGCUCUCUGCUGUGGCCUGGAAAAGCAGUAGGAAGAUGGUCGAAGUCCUUGGGCCCCUGAACCCACGUGGAAGACCCGGAAGAAGCUCUUGGCUCCUGGCUUCGGAUCAGCACAGCUCCAGCCGUUGCAGCCAAUUGGGGAGUGAACCAUCGGAUGGAUGGAAGACCUCUCUCUCUCUCUCUCUCUGCCUCUCCUCUCUCUGUGUAACUCUGACUUUCAAAUAAAUAAAUAAAUCUUUAUAAAGAGAGAGAGAGAGAGAGAGAAAAGAAGAAAGAAAACCCUAGGGGAGUGUUUGGUGCAGUGGUUAGAUCGCUGUGUGGGACAUCCACAUUCCUUAUUACAGUGUCUGUGAUCAAGACCCACCUCCGCUUCUGAUCCAGCUCCCUGCUAAUGCACCUGAGAGGCCACAGAUGAUUGCUCAAGUACUUGGGUUCCUGCCACCCACCCAAGGAGCCAAGAUGGAGUUCCUGGUUCCUGGCUUUGGACUGGCCCAGCCCCAGCUGUUGCUGGCUUUUGAAGAGUGAACCAGUGGCUGAAAGAGUCUCUCCCCCCCCCCUCCUUCACUCCCCUUCCGUGUGUGUGUGUCCGUGUCCGUGUCCCUCUAUCACUCUGCCUUUCGAAUAAAUAAAUACUUUUUAAAAAGAAAGAAAACA